rnacentral:lncRNA from 1 species
UUUUUGAACAGCCGACACUCUCCUAUCUUGUUUCCCUCCCAUCCCCUUCUCUGCACUUUCUUUUGGAGAAAAAAAAAAAACCUAACUCACAAGCCUAUUCCUCUCAAAAACCUCACAACAAAGAAAACACAAUCAUUUUCACUCACCUCCCCUAUCUCUCGCAUAAACCGGUCGUCGGAGACCAAGUCCGACGCCGUCACCGGCCAACCACACACACACCUCCAUAAGCCGUAUCAUCUCUGCAACCAUCGCCGGAGAUUUGGAACUCACCGGAGCCAGAAAUGAGAACCCGCAGAAUCACCGCGUUCGGGUGUCGGUAUAUUCCUUAGUUAUGGUUUUGUCGUUAAUAAACAUCGAAACAUUCUGAGGAUCCCGCACAACUCAGGGAACUAACUCUCGCUCCCUCGUUGACUCGAAGUCCCUCACCGAAGUUACGAGCCGUAGCCGGAGUUUACGUACGAAGAUCACGACGGAAUCGCUUUGCCUCGUGUCGAUUAUGCGGAUUGUGACAGAUGAAUCCAGUAGGAUUGCCUAGAAACGCAUUUAAACUUUGUUGCUCGUUGUAUUGUAAUUUACUUUCAAUCCUGUUGUAUUCUGGUUCCAAUACUUGUAAUAAUUCGUUAUUAAUGAAAUAAAUUAUAAUUAU